rnacentral:lncRNA from 1 species
UGUGUUUUGGUCAUUUCCCAAAAUUUCUUGUCCCAUUAGCUUCUCUUCAACUCCAAUUGACUCUUGGUGUUCUCAACUCAUCGUUCUUUGAUCCAAUUCAACUUUUGGAUUAUUGCAUUCUAGUCCCCAAACUUUGCCUUGAUGUAAUUGAGUCAUUUUUCAUGCUUAUUUUCUUUAUUCUCGUAUCUGAUCUUCCAUUAAUUGUAACCUACACACAAUAUAUAAAUAGGAUUAAGCCAUAUUCCAUCAAAUUCUUUAACAAAUACUCAAUUUUGCCUAAAUAAGUGUAUAAAAUACAC